GACGAACGCUGGCGGCGUGCUUAAACACAUGCAAGUCGAACGGAAAGGCCNCUUCGGGGUAACUCGAGUGGCGAACGGGUGAGUAACACGUGGGUGANCUGCCCUGCACUUUGGGAUAAGCCUGGGAAACUGGGUYUAAUACCGAAUAUGACCAUGCAMUUCCUGGUGUGUGGUGGAAAGCUUUUGCGGUGUGGGAUGGGCCCGCGGCCUAUCAGCUUGUUGGUGGGGUAAUGGCCUACCAAGGCGACGACGGGUAGCCGGCCUGAGAGGGUGACCGGCCACACUGGGACUGAGAUACGGCCCAGAAUUCUACGGGAGGCAGCAGUGGGGAAUAUUGCACAAUGGGCGCAAGCCUGAUGCAGCGACGCCGCGUGAGGGAUGACGGCCUUCGGGUUGUAAACCUCUUUCAGCACAGACGAAGCGCAAGUGACGGUAUGUGCAGAAGAAGGACCGGCCAACUACGUGCCACCACCCGCGGUAAUACGUAGGGUCCGAGCGUUGUCCGGAAUUACUGGGCGUAAAGAGCUCUAGGUGGUUUGUCGCGUUGUUCGUCAAAACUCACAGCUUAACUGUGGGCGUGCGGGCGAUACGGGCAGACUUGAGUACUGCAGGGGAGACUGGAAUUCCUGGUGUAGCGGUGGAAUGCGCAGAUAUCAGGAGGAACACCGGUGGCGAAGGCGGGUCUCUGGGCAGUAACUGACGCUGAGGAGCGAAAGCGUGGGAGCGAACAGGAUUAGAUACCCUGGUAGUCCACGCCGUAAACGGUGGGUACUAGGUGUGGGUUUCCUUCCUUGGGAUCCGUGCCGUAGCUAACGCAUUAAGUACCCCGCMUGGGGAGUACGGCCNCAAGGCUAAAACUCAAAGAAAUUGACGGGGGCCCGCACAAGCGGNGGAGCAUGUGGAUUAAUUGGAUGCAAAGGGGAAGAACCUUACCUGGUUUGACAUGCACAGGAGCCAGUAGAGAUAUUGGUUCCCUUGUGGCCUGUGUGCAGGUGGUGCAUGGCUGUCGUCAGCUCGUGUCGUGAGAUGUUGGGUUAAGUCCCGCAACGAGCGCAACCCUUGUCCUAUGUUGCCAGCGGGUUAUGCCGGGGACUCGUACGAGACUGCCGGGGUCAACUCGGAGGAAGGUGGGGAUGACGUCAAGUCAUCAUGCCCCUUAUGUCCAGGGCUUCACACAUGCUACAAUGGCCGGUACAAAGGGCUGCGAUGCCGUGAGGUGGAGCGAAUCCUUUCAAAGCCGGUCUCAGUUCGGAUCGGGGUCUGCAACUCGACCCCGUGAAGUCGGAGUCGCUAGUAAUCGCAGAUCAGCAACGCUGCGGUGAAUACGUUCCCGGGCCUUGUACACACCGCCCGUCACGUCAUGAAAGUCGGUAACACCCGAAGCCGGUGGCCUAACCCUUGUGGAGGGAGCCGUCGAAGGUGGGACGGCGAUUGGGACG
rnacentral:rRNA from 1 species